UACGAAGGGGGCUAGCGUUGCUCGGAAUCACUGGGCGUAAAGGGUGCGUAGGCGGGUCUUUAAGUCAGGGGUGAAAUACGGCAGCUUAACUGUCGAGGUGCAAUUGAUACUGGCGGACUUGAGUACAGACGAGGUAGGCGGAAUUGACGGUGUAGCGGUGAAAUGCAUAGAUAUCGUCAAGAACACCGAUAGCGAAGGCAGCUUACUAGACUGUAACUGACGCUGAGGCACGAAAGUGUGGGGAUCAAACAGG
rnacentral:rRNA from 1 species